CGGUUCUAAAAACGCUACUAUAAAUAGGUUGAGAACUGCUACUAUAGAGCUUCUAUGUACUAGUGACCACCUCCUGCAGCAUUGGGUCGUCGCGGAUUGGCUAGAAGUCAUGGCUGGGCAACACCUCGUCGGUGCCAUUGCUGAUGUCAUUUGUGUUGUCGUGGAGGGAGCGAUGGUGCCCAGGGCGGUGGCGGAUUGCCUCCUCCAGCGGGUCCAAGGCGCAUCAAAUAGAAUAGCUCGUCGGCCCUGCAUGUCAGUGGCGAUAGAGACGACAAGGCCCUAGAUCUGCUUGCUUCUCCCACAGCUGCCUCCCACCAUCAACUACGACACGUUCAUCGUGGCGAUUCCGAGCUUGCUUCUUCCGACACUGCCUCCCGUCGUGGCUCACAAGGACGAAAAGAAGCGUGGCAAACAGGUCGGAUGUGCACGCUCUAGAUAAUUGGGGGAGACUUUCCCUCACGUAAAUAUGCGGGACGAAUCGCCAGAGAAAUGUCGCAGCAAAAAAAAUUGGGAAGGUUGUGGGAUCUGUUGGAGGCGGAGAAAAUGGAGCCCCCCCCCAAAUGUUUUUCCAGUGAGUUUUGGUGUCGUUUUUAUAGUUGCUCUAACUAUUUAACAUCCCUAACCACUCCUUUUCUCUCUCACAUGCACCCCUCCUCACACACACAUCUAAGGCUAUUCCUAGUCAUGAUUUUAUUUGAAUUUUGUUUUUAUCAAAUGACCUGUCAUUCGACAAGUACAAUGAUAUGACAAGGAUUUAAUAAAGAGAGAUAGGGAGGGUUUUAUGUGAGGCGAGAGCAAGUAACGAAACUCUAUACUAGGAAUAGCCUAACCCACUUAGAGCAAGUAUAAUAAGAGGUUGUAAGCAGGCUAAAUGUUGAGGUGUGAGGUGGAGGACAGAAGAGGAGAAACAAGUUGUAAAAACUUUGUGAGAGAGAUAAGUAAGGUCCUACAUUAAUAAUGAAAUGCUAACUAGUAUAUAAAUGAGCUAAUAGCAUCUUUAAGAGACUAGUGAAAUUAUUCAUCAUGCCUAAUUUUAGCUACUUAACAGAAAAAACUCCUCACUAGACUAAACAUCUAACUCGUCAAAACAUCCAGCUCUACAAAUUGGUCCCCUCUCUAUCCAAAUUUAGCUAGCCAUUCUAGCUAGUCAAGCUAAUUUACUGUUGAAGUGAGAUGUUAUUUAUAAAAUUUAAUUUUUAUAGAAAGAUAAAUAGAGAGUGAGUAAAAAAUGGAGAGUCCUGUUGAGAUGCUUACUGUUUAGGGGGUGUUUGGGAGUGAAGUUUUUUCACAGUUUUGAAAGAAUACCGCAAUAUUCUCAAAUACUGCAGUAUUAUAUACAGAAUGGUGUUUGGCAAGCUAGCUAAAAUCUCUGUUUUCAAAACUGAAAUAUUGCAAAUAUUAUAGUUGUUUUAAGGUAUUCUAAACUUAGGUCUGGACCUCAGUUUUUAAAACUGUGGUAUUGUAAAAUGUGGUAUUGUCAUGACUAAAAUAUAUUGUAGUAUUUCAAAAACUGUGAUUUUCAAAAACUUUGUUCCCAAACAGGUCCUUACUGUUAAACUUGCUCUCACAGCAUGAGGCUCCACCGGUGGGCCCCACUCAUGUGGAGGCUGCGCACGCGUUGAGGCAAGGUCACGAGUCACGACUCACGAGAGUGCUGCCACUGCCAUUGGCGCUAGUGCUGAUGUUGAGGUCGUGGCACUGCUCCCAGCGUGCCUAGUGGAUCCCGGUGCUGCGCAUGGGUGGUUCCACGUGGUGGCUCCCAAAUGGAGGUGCGGCCAGAUCCAG
rnacentral:lncRNA from 1 species